GACGAACGCUGGCGGCGUGCUUAACACAUGCAAGUCGAACGGAAAGGCCCUGCUUUUGUGGGGUGCUCGAGUGGCGAACGGGUGAGUAACACGUGAGUAACCUGCCCUUGACUUUGGGAUAACUUCAGGAAACUGGGGCUAAUACCGGAUAGGAGCUCCUGCUGCAUGGUGGGGGUUGGAAAGUUUCGGCGGUUGGGGAUGGACUCGCGGCUUAUCAGCUUGUUGGUGGGGUAGUGGCUUACCAAGGCUUUGACGGGUAGCCGGCCUGAGAGGGUGACCGGCCACAUUGGGACUGCGGUACGGCCCAGACUCCUACGGGAGGCAGCAGUGGGGAAUAUUGCAGAAUGGGCGGAAGCCUGAUGCAGCAACGCCGCGUGCGGGAUGACGGCCUUCGGGUUGUAAACCGCUUUCGCCUGUGACGAAGCGUGAGUGACGGUAAUGGGUAAAGAAGCACCGGCUAACUACGUG
rnacentral:rRNA from 1 species